AAAUUUAAAAUGCCCACUUGAAACGGUACUAGUUUACUAAAUAUAUUUAAUAAACGUAAACUGAAAGACAAACGGAUAGCUGUAGUAAACUCUUGUGACUAAGCGAACGGUCGCUGAAUUGUAUUGAUUAUUAGCAAGUAAAGAUUCGAAAAAUUCAUCCAUUAUUCGUAAAAAGACUUUGAUAAUAUUGAAGUGAAAGUUUCACAAAUGUAACGUCCGUUGGUUUGGUUACGGCAUUAUUAUACUUCAUUUUAAGUACAAAAAACACUUUUGAUAUAACAUACAGGUAAAACUGAAAUCGUUUAUGGUUAUUAAGGGUUUUAGCAGUUUUUACACCAAACUUCUAGGCAGGAGUUUCUGGAAAGCUCACUUUCCCACACCUAAUAAAAUAUCCAAAGAUCUAUUAGCCAAAUUUAAAUUAAUAUUAUAGGAUUCCUCAAAUGAAACUAGAUUUUCGGAGACUCUUUUUUUUAUUUUAAAUCACAUUAACUGUAAUACCCCUCAGGUGUGUGAAAUUUACCAUUUUACACAAAUUUUCCACACUUACUAUUAAAAUGUUUAUUACAAAUACCACCAUUUUUUGUAGAUGUAGGCUCUAUCUAUAUCCUUGUCCCAGUUUACAAAUGAGAGGAGGAUGGGAACAAAGUGACAUUUUUCUUAUAUAAUUGGACCAAUUAAACCCAAAAAACCCUAUUUCCAGACACUAUUAAUAAAAUGAGACCAUGAUAUAGAAAUAAGAGGAAAAGCUGAAUUCUCAUUUAUAUAUGGUGGUCUGGAGAAUGACUGUGCUUUCUCUGGCCAACUGCCUUAGCUUCUAUAACUUUUUCCAGGUUAAUGGGGUUUUAAAUACCAACGGGGUUGCCUUGGAUCUCGUAUUUAGUAGCUCAGAUUUAAUUAGUGUUGAACGUGCAAUAGACAAGAUUUUUGAGAAUAGCUUACACCGUACAGCAAUUAGUUUUGACCUUUGUUGUGCAGAAAAUUCUGAUGAUAUGAUUUAUGAGGAAUAUUUUUAUGAUUUUGGUAAGGGAGUUUACAUAGCAUACGAUUGCCUUGCUGGGAUAGACUGGAAUCAAUUGUUUUUGGGAGAGACAUCUAUUGAUGUCAUAGUUUCAAUUUUCUAUAAUGUGAUCUAUUCCUCAAUGGAAAGGUUUAUUCCUCUAAAGAGGUACAAAAGUUCUUCUUUUCCAUCUUGGUUUUCUUCAAAGCUUCGCAGUUUGAUCAUAAGAAACAAAUUCACAAAAUGUUUAAAAUUAGUGGUCAACAGCAGGAUUAUGAUGAAUUUGUAUUUUUGAGACAACAAUGUGAGUACUUAAGAGAGUUGUGCUAUCAACAAUAUAUUAAUAAGGUGGAAAUGAAUCUCGCUGGCAACCCAAGGUACUUCUGGUCAUAUAUUCAAAAUAAAAGAACUGGUUUUAGUCUUCCCUCCAGAAUGACAUACAAUAACAGGAUUAGUAUGAAUAUCUCAGAUACUGCAGAUAUGUUUGCAGAAUACUUUUCAUCCGUAUUCGGAUGAGCAAGUCAAUGACAUUCCAUCUUUUGAUUUUGAUAAAUCAAUUUGUCUGAGCACUUUAACCCUGGAAUGCUAUUGUACGUAAUAUUUACGUGCGGACAGCACUAUUUAGCGUGUCACUACAAUUUUAUUACCUUCUCCCACCUUAGCGCUCAGUAGUGCUUUGAGCGGUCUAUUAGGAGUAUGACACGCCUGAACUAGUUUGAUCUGUGUAUUUACAGUGUUGGUUGAAGCCGAAUUUCUAAAAGCCGACACGUAUUUUUUACGUAGCAAUAGUAUUAACCGUAUUUUAUUUAGGACGUAAUUUUGACGUGGUAAUAGUGAUAAGCAGUAUUAGAUUACCAAAAAAUAUCUCAAAAAAGUUUAACAGAUGUAAGUGGUUAGGUAGUGACUCUGACGAUAGCGUAGCCGAUCCUAAUUUUGCUCCUGCCAGGUACUAUUCAAAUUUCUAAAAGACGUCAAAACUCUAAUAUUGUUCAAGCUAGGUUGUCUACCCCAAGUACUUCGGUAAAUUUGUUUUUUGCUUUUUAAUAUAUAUACACAUAUAUUGUAAUGCUUAUUUUAGGAUAACGUAGUAACGCCUGAUGAAGUUACUCACUCUAGACUGCAUAGUUGUUCCAUAGGUUAAAAAUUUACUAGGCAAAAAUGGUUGUAUGUGGAAAACUUAACCUAAAAAGAGAGGAAAAAUACCAUCCAUAAAUAUUGAUCAUAUGAGACCAGAUCCAACACAAGAGGCUAAGGAAUUGCUACAACCAGUUACACACUUUCAGUGAUUUUUCCUUGAUACACUUUUAAACAAAGUCUUAUUUUACACAAAUCAGGAAAUUAUAAGACAAAAUAAAAAUUAUAAAGUGGCAUCACAAACUGUAUCUGAAACAAAUCUGGUGGAACUUAAAUCGCUUUUGGGUCCAUACAUAGUUUCUGCUGCUUUAAAAGACAACCACUUAUCAACAAAAGUUUGCUUUAAUAAAACUUUUUCAAGCAAGGGACGCUUUGAAUUUCUGACUGCGUAAAAGAAGUUACAAACCAGGCACGUACAAUUAGUAGGGUUUAGAGGAAAAUGUCCUUUUAGGAUGUACAUUUCAAAUAAACUGUCAAAGUAUGGUUUAAAAAUUGUAAUGCUUUGUGAUGAGGCGACGAAAUAUUUAAUCAACGCCUCACCAUAUCUGGGUAAAUCAACAAAUACAUAUGGUAAACCAUUAGUUGAUUUUUUUGUGGAGCAGCUUACGAAGCCUAUACAUUGAACUACAGGAUAAUUGGUUUACGUCUGUGCCAUUAGUAGAUCGGUUUGUAGCAAAACCAUUUAGUCUUACGGUAGUGGGCACUAUUCGGAAGAAUAAAGCCCAUCUGCCACUACAAAUAAUAAAGAAAAUAAAAAUGAGCGACAAGUUAGAACUACAAUUUUUGUAUAUAGUCACAAAAGUACUUUAGUUUCAUAUAAAGCAAAGCAAAAUAAAACAGUAAAUCUUAUUUCCAGAAUGCACACCACUAUUGGAAAAAUUAAACCUGAUUUAAAAAAGCCAUAUAUUAUAGAAACUUACAACUCAACUAAAGGAUCAGUUGAUACCUUUGAUUAAAUGUGCCAAAAUAUGUUAUACUAACCGUAAAACUAGACGAUGACCUUUCAGUUUUUGUUUUUAUAACAUGAUUAACGUGAAAAACCAUUAUGUAGAGAAACUUAUAUAUGACUGAACAAGAAAAAUAUAUAGAACCUAUUGCAGAGGAUAACCAAAGAGAAAAAAUUGUUCAACUUGUCCUUCAGCUAAGAGACCUAUGACAGUUACCUACUGUCCCAAAUGCAAAAAACCGAUUUGUGAGGAGCUUCAAAUUAAAAUAUGUCAGUAAUGUUUUUAGUUUUUUUCUACCUUUUUUAUCCACGUUUAAAAAUUUUAUGUUCAAUAUAUAUUUAUAAAAACAGUAUUUUUUCAAGUCUUUUAUUUUCUGCUUUAAGUAAUUAACUUAAGGUAAUCCUUUUAAGAGUUUAAUGUUUCAAGUAUUUUAAUAUAUACGUAAAUUUAACGUAGCAAUAGUAUUAGCAGCCCAUGAAUUAGCGAUAGUAUUCCAGGGUUAACUCUGUCAACGCAUCAGGAUGUUUAUGAGGUUAUUACUUCCUCUAAGAAUAAACUUUGCGCUGGACCAGAUGGAAUUCCGGCAUUCUUCCUAAAGAAAUCUGUUUGUGUUCUUACGAAACCAAUACUGUUCAUUUUUAACAAAUCUCUAGGUACUGGUUCUUAUCCCACUCUCUGGAAGAGAAGUUUUCUAAAACCCAUUUUUAAAUCUGGUAGUAGAAAUGAAAUUUCCAAUUAUCGGGCUGUGUGUAACCAAUCUGAGUUGCCAAAGCUGCUUGACUGCCUGGUCAGUCAUAGGAUUGCCUGGAGUUUUAAAUCUUUAUUUAAUCCUGAGCAAUUCAGAUUUAUAAAAGGCAGAUCUACUGAUGCUAAUUUGUUGCUGUAUGUCAACUACCUUUGGUUGACUCAGGGACUUCAGGUUGACUCAAUAUAUACAGAGUUUUCCAAAGCUUUUGAUCGGGUUAACCAUGGGGUACUCUUGCAGAAGGUUAGGGCUUUAGGUAUUGUGGGGCCUCUUCUUCAGUGGACCUCGGGAUUCAUCAGAGGUAGAACCCAGAUUGUUAAUCUUGGAGGUACAUGUUCCUCUGAAAUUUUGGUGCCAUCUGGGGUGCCACAGGGCUCUCACUCGGGCCCUGUUUUGUUUUGCCUCUUUUUGAUUGAUUUAGUUUGGAAACUUGAAAAUUGUUGUGUGCUAAUGUUUGCUGAUGAUGUGAAGCUAUUUAGGCCUAUCACAUCCCUUUCCGAUGCUGUGCUCCUGCAAAAAGACCUUAAUUUGUUCUUUGAUUGGUGCCACUUGAAUAGAAUGGCCCUUAAUAUCAAUAAGUGCCAUAAGAUUACUUUGUCUGAGCAAAGAAACCCUAUUGCUUUUCUUUAUAAAAUAAAUAAUGUAGCAAUUGGUGUCAAAAUAGAGGUUUCUGACUUAGGAAUAUUUAUUGACUCCGGGUUGUCUUUUAAAAGUCACAUCAAUCAGGUGACUGGUAGGGCAAUGAAAAUGCUGGGUUUUAUCCAACGGUCUACAACUGAUUUGUCUUUGUUUACUUUAUUGCUCUCUUGUUAAGCCCAUCUUGGAGUAUGGCUCAACUGUGUGGUCCUCGUGAUAUAACUGCUACAUUGAGCAAAUUGAAAAAACUCAAAAUAAAUUUUUAAGGGUGGCCUGCUUUUAGAUGUGGUUACAGGAGACAGGAGUAUUACUAUCAGUGCGUCAGGGAUAACCUGAACUUACCCACAUUAGAGUCACGAAGAACAUUACUCAACUUAUGUUUUAUGGAUAAGGUUUUAAAUGCUACUAUAGAUUGUCCCGAGUUAUUGUCUCUUUUUAAACUUAGGGUGCCUUCCAGAUUGAAUAGACAAUCAGAAAUAUUUUCGGUCCCAUUCCACCAUACCAAUUAUGGUAUUAAUGAGCUAAUUACACGAAUGGCUCGAAGUGCUAAUGGUCUGUCAGGACAGAUAAGCUUUUUUGACUCUAGGAUUACAUAUUUUAAGGGGUAGUUAACGAAUAUUAUUUCAUAGGGGCUUUAAUUAAUUAACUCAUCUGCACCUUUCAUUGAUUUAUAGAUAGUUUUGUAUCUGAAUAUAUAUGUUUGUAUGGGUAUGCUACGUAACACUUUUGUAAAUGGAUUCCGUAAAUAAAUAAAUAUAUCCUUGUCUCAUUUUACAAACUAGAGGAGGAUAGGAACAAAGUGAUAUUUUGCUUUUAUAGUUGGACCAAUUAAGGCCGAAAAACCCUAUUUCCAAACAAUUGAGACACCAUUAACAAAUCAACCCGAUUUAAUACAAGGGGGAUGCAGCUAUCCAAUUGUCUAAUUGAAACCAGUACCGUUUCUUACAACCGCUGUAUGCGCCGCCGCUGUAUAUCGAACAUUAUUACCGCUUGUAAAAGCUUACGGUGGGUGGUUUUUAGCCACACUCUGUAUAGUAAAUAGUAUGACUUUAGUGUUGCCGCUUUCGUUUCUUGUCGAAUUAUUUAUUGUGUGUAUAAGCAUCUUCUUGGUCUGGCCUGUAACUAUUUUAUAUCGUAAAACGCUUUCUGUCUCUCUUCAACUUCUACUAGAAAAAUUUCCAAAUUAUUCAUAAAAAUUCUUAUGACAUAAAUUGGAAAUGUU